rnacentral:rRNA from 1 species
CAUGCAGUCGAGCGGCAGCGACACAUUGAACCUUCGGGGGAUUUGUUGGGCGGCGAGCGGCGGACGGGUGAGUAAUGCCUGGGAAAUUGCCCUGAUGUGGGGGAUAACCAUUGGAAACGAUGGCUAAUACCGCAUGAUAGCUUCGGCUCAAAGAGGGGGACCUUCGGGCCUCUCGCGUCAGGAUAUGCCCAGGUGGGAUUAGCUAGUUGGUGAGGUAAGGGCUCACCAAGGCGACGAUCCCUAGCUGGUCUGAGAGGAUGAUCAGCCACACUGGAACUGAGACACGGUCCAGACUCCUACGGGAGGCAGCAGUGGGGAAUAUUGCACAAUGGGCGCAAGCCUGAUGCAGCCAUGCCGCGUGUAUGAAGAAGGCCUUCGGGUUGUAAAGUACUUUCAGCAGUGAGGAAGGGGGUAUCGUUAAUAGCGGUAUCUUUUGACGUUAGCUGCAGAAGAAGCACCGGCUAACUCCGUGCCAGCAGCCGCGGUAAUACGGAGGGUGCGAGCGUUAAUCGGAAUUACUGGGCGUAAAGCGCAUGCAGGUGGUUUGUUAAGUCAGAUGUGAAAGCCCGGGGCUCAACCUCGGAAUUGCAUUUGAAACUGGCAGGCUAGAGUACUGUAGAGGGGGGGUAGAAAUUUUCAGGGUGUAG